rnacentral:rRNA from 1 species
UACGUAGGUGGCAAGCGUUGUUCGGAUUUAUUGGGCGUAAAGAGCGUGUAGGCGGCCAGGUAGGUCUGCUGUGAAAACUCGAGGCUCAACCUCGAGACGUCGGCGGAAACCAUCUGGCUAGAGUCCGGAAGAGGAGAGUGGAAUUCCUGGUGUAGCGGUGAAAUGCGCAGAUAUCAGGAAGAACACCGGUGGCGAAGGCGGGUCUCUGGGCCGUAACUGACGCUGAGGAGCGAAAGCGUGGGGAGCGAACAGG